AGCGAGAGCGGGAGAGAGAUUUCCACACGCGGGGGGCUGGGGUCGGCAGGAGGGAGGCAGUCCUUGCGACCUCAUUCCGCGGGGCUGCCCCAGGAAGGCGACAGGAUCUAGAAGCUGCAUCAUGCGCCGGGGAGGGGGUGCCCUAAGCAAAGCGGGCCCAGUGUAGACAAGCCCCUUCCUCCCGUGCAACAUGGAUGCUGAAGAGUUUCACACCGGACGGGGCCGCGUGCUCCUGGAUCCCAAGCGUCUCAGGGUCCUCGGUGGGGUGCGGCGGCCAGAGGGACCUCUCAGCCGUUCGGUGUCUGAUGUCACCCAGCGUGGAGGAGCCCGAGUCUUGCAGCGGAGACGGAAUUUGCUAUCAUCUUGGAAGAAUGAGGGCUUGGAAUGGGCUGUAUGUUGAUUGGAAGGAAAUAAAAAUCGGAUGAUCCUGUUUCACUGAGGGAGGAGAUCUGCUCCGAGAUGCCAAGUCACCGGCCCCUGGUCGCACAGCACGUCCAUGAUAACGGUGGGAUUUGGAACGGAGCCUGCGGUUCGCACCCCUCCCCCGCACACCAUUCGCGCACCUUCCGGCCCCGCUCGGGGUGCAAGUACCGCUUGGGGCUUGGGUGUAGGGCAGCAGGGAGAGACCGGGGCGGGGGAGGAUUCCGGGCGCCUGGUGGCCGUGACGUGUGAUGUAGGUUUGCCAGGAGUUCUAGAAAGUUCAGCAGGCUGCCCCCCGGGGAGCCUCUCGGAGGCUCCACAAGUAACGGCUGUUUUCUGAACAAGUUAUCAUCCCCUGUCAUCUCCCCGCCCCAGGCUGGGCGGGAAGAGGCCGUGAAUCACCCAACGCUUUUAGGCCAGGCCGGUUAAUUCACCUCUCUGAGCCUCAGUGUCCUCGUCUCUGAAAUGGGCCCCACGACACGGUUGCAGGUACAGUUCGGCGAGAGGACCGGUGGGGACUCAGCCCCGGGCCCUGGAGCAAACAGAAGAAGCUCGAUGUAACACUGGCAUCUUCUCGCAACGGCGAAUCUUGCUGUUCCGCGCGACUCAGCGGCUCGCUCUUCUCUCAGGGACACGCCAAAGUGACACUCGCGCGCGCGCCCCAGGCCACGCGUACAAGGAGGUGCGUCGCAGCCCUGUUCACCGUAGCAACAUCUGGAGCCAGCCGUUCCGCUCACUGGAAAGAAAACGGAGCCCUGCCAUCACUUGUGGAACAUUUUCAGAACCCUGAAAGGAAACCCCCAGAGCGCCGAGCCCUCUCGCACCGUUUUCCACCCGCAUGGAGAGACCACAGUCUGUUUAGGUGCUCGUCGGUCGAUGGGCGUUUGGGUUGUUCCCGCUUUUUUUUUUCUUUUUUCAUGUUUUUCAAGAGAGAGAGGGAGACAGAGGAGGGGAGUCGGGGAGGGG